AACCGGUCUUCCAGGGCGUCCUGGAGAACGCGGGAUGAAAGGAGAUGCAGGGGAUCCUGGAAAGGAUGGACAGCCUGGACCUCCAGGAAUGCCUGGAGAAACUGUUCUUCCUCUGGAAAAUGGCAUCACCCUCAAAGGAGAGAAGGGAGAACCUGGACCUCCUGGCAAAAGGAUGGAUAUCAAGG